rnacentral:rRNA from 1 species
CGACGGGACUAUUUUGGGAGAAGUUUUCGGAUGGAUCUCGGGAUAGCUUAGUGGCGGACGGGUGAGUAACACGUGAGCAACCUGCCUUCGAGAGGGGAAUAACGGCUGGAAACGGUCGCUAAUACCGCAUAACAUACUGGAGGGACAUCCCUUUGGUAUCAAAGAUUAUAUCGCUCGGAGAUGGGCUCGCGUCCGAUUAGGUAGUUGGUGAGGUAACGGCUCACCAAGCCGACGAUCGGUAGCCGGACUGAGAGGUCGAACGGCCACAUUGGGACUGAGACACGGCCCAGACUCCUACGGGAGGCAGCAGUGGGGGAUAUUGCACAAUGGGGGAAACCCUGAUGCAGCGACGCCGCGUGUGGGAAGACGGUCCUCUGGAUUGUAAACCACUGUCCCCAGGGACGAAGAUGACGGUACCUGGGGAGGAAGCUCCGGCUAACUACGUGCCAGCAGCCGCGGUAAUACGUAGGGAGCGAGCGUUGUCCGGAAUUACUGGGUGUAAAGGGAGCGUAGGCGGGACUGCAAGUUGGGUGUCAAAUCUACCGGCUCAACCGGUAGCCGCACUCAAGACUGCAGUUCUUGAGUGAAGUAGAGGCAGGCGGAAUUCCUAGUGUAGCGGUGAAAUGCGUAGAUAUUAGGAGGAACACCAGUGGCGAAGGCGGCCUGCUGGGCUUUUACUGACGCUGAGGCUCGAAAGUGUGGGGAGCAAACAGGAUUAGAUACCCUGGUAGUCCACACCGUAAACGAUGAUCACUAGGUGUGGGGGGUCUGACCCCUUCCGUGCCGGAGUUAACACAAUAAGUGAUCCACCUGGGGAGUACGGCCGCAAGGUUGAAACUCAAAGGAAUUGACGGGGGCCCGCACAAGCAGUGGAGUAUGUGGUUUAAU